ensembl:lncRNA
CUUGACGCCAUUUGGAUUCCACGCUGUUGUACCGUGCAAACUAGAACAUUCAUUUUAGCGACUUGGUUCUUUCAUCAACUCUUGUUCAAAGUGUACAAGCUAUAUGCUUUAAAUUGGACAAUACAACAUGUGGAUUAUCACAUUGUUUUACUACAAUUUGAUGAACUCCCGAAACAAACGAAGAUCAAGGAUUUUUCUGACAACAGACCGAAAAUUUUGAACGCCGAGUCACCUACAUCUAUGUUCGGAUGUUUUGUGCUUCUUCGCAUAUCAACAGUUGAACAGGUGAUGACGUUUCCUGUAGUUUUGUUCCCGGAGGAGGAAGACUGGCAGCAGUUCCACGCCAGGAUGGAGCAAGCACAGUACUCCAAGGCACCAGAGAGGUACUCCACACCACCAUGUAGAGGAUGGCUACAUAGAACAUUUGGAGAAGAUCUAGUGGCUGGCUGACUGAAGAGAGGGUCGAGCUGAGGGCACAGCUGGCUCAACAAUCAGGUGAAAACAAGACUAUAGUUACGCUAGCAUCUUGUCAUAAUGGAACUGCAUUUGUCUGAACAUGAGCCCUUUACUGAAAUGCAAUACUGUACAGCCUUUUUGAAA